GUUAUUGCAACAUUGUCGGACGCGGCGCGUAAAAUUUUGCGAAUUUCUCAUAAAAAUUUGGUUAAUAACGUAUAAUUAUCACGGUUUUAUGUUUAUUUGUCUUUCGAAAACGCGUAUGAGUGUGGAAUAUCGUAAUUUUUAGUGAAAAGUGCAACAAUUUCAAUAUAUUACACCAUCAACGCAGUAGCUCUAGUGACAAAUAUCCAGCCGUACAUUUGAAGCGACCGAAGUAUCAACGAAUCGGAUUCGAGGGAGAGGAAUUUGGAUUCAGCGCGGGCUCGCACUGGUAA